rnacentral:rRNA from 1 species
CAGUUCGGAUUGCAGGCUGCAACUGCCUGCAUGAAGCUGGAAUUGCUAGUAAUCGCGGAUCAGCAUGCCGCGGUGAAUACGUUCCCGGGCCUUGUACACACCGCCCGUCACACCAUGAGAGUCGGGAACACCCGAAGUCCGUAGUCUAACCGCAAGGAGGGCGCGGCCGAAGGUGGGUCCGGUAAUUGGGUGAAGUCGUAACAAGGUAGC